UAUGUCUUUAUUUAAUCUUAACAGUGAAUGGUAAAGGUAAGACGAGCAAGACAUUCAGCAGGUAAGAGUUAAACAGCAGCAGACGUUGCAUUACCCCUGCUGCAAGAACAAGUAACUCCAAUGUUUUAACCAAUAACACAGAUCAAAUUAAUGGUUACAUUAAGUGUAAUUGUAAGAUCAGAACAAAAUGUUUUUUUCAGUCCCUGCAUUACAUUCUAUCUGUGCAGGUUAAAUAUUAUGUUUCCUCAAUGGGUGUGUGUGUGUGUGUUUGUGUGUGUGUGUGUGUGUGUUCAAUAUAAACAUGUACAUAUAAAGGAAGAUGUGUUUCAAAUCAGAAGAAGACAUGAAGUUCACCUCUAACUUAUUUUCUGAACCUUUUCUGAAUUUCUGUUUGCAGCUAAGAGCCACUAGAUGGUUCCGUAAGCAAACAAAUACAAGAGAGGAGAACAUAUUUUAAAACUGAUUUUUUGUAUUCCCUUCUGAAAAGAUAAAUAAAUAAAAUGCUUAAGGUCACAGUGCAAAUCUCUUUAAUAUAAAUAUAAUGUUUUUCUUAUCUUUUCAUUUGACCAGAGAAACAAUGAAAUAGACAAAUCUGGAACUGAAUUCUAAACAUGACAAAAAUAUAUAUUCACAGCACGAAUAUGUCAAAACGCUUGAGUGCUCUUUUAGUUUUCUAAAUCUCUAUAUAAUGAACUGAAAUUCACACAAGCCAAAAUGUGGUCAUAGAUAAUACAAAUUAUUCAAAAAUAUGUUCCAGCAUGCAUCAGCAAAAUGAUUGUUGCAUGUAGUUAUUUUUUGGGGAAAUAACCUUGCACUGACACUGCUGUAUACUGUAAUACACUUUUUUAUAUUCAUAGAUUUCGAUCAUUUUCACAGAUGAACACUACGUUUAUAUUAUUCUAAGCGCUAUGCUUAUUGAAAAACAA